rnacentral:rRNA from 1 species
ACACCCGUUCCCAUUCCGAACACGGAAGUUAAGCCCUCCAGCGCCGAUGGUACUGCUUUCGCGGGAGAGUAGGUCGCUGCCGGUA